rnacentral:rRNA from 1 species
UACGGGGGGGGCAAGCGUUGUUCGGAAUUACUGGGCGUAAAGGGCGCGUAGGCGGCCGCCUAAGUCAGACGUGAAAUCCCUCGGCUCAACCGGGGAACUGCGUCUGAUACUGGUGAGCUUGAAUGCGGGAGAGGAUAGUGGAAUUCCCAGUGUAGAGGUGAAAUUCGUAGAUAUUGGGAAGAACACCGGUGGCGAAGGCGGCUAUCUGGCCCGUAAUUGACGCUGAGGCGCGAAAGCGUGGGGAGCAAACAGG